UACGUAGGGGGCAAGCGUUGUCCGGAUUUAUUGGGCGUAAAGAGCGUGUAGGCGGCCACACAGGUCAGCUGUGAAAACUCGAGGCUCACCUCGAGACGUCGGUUGAAACCGUAUGGCUAGAGUCCGGAAGAGGAGAGUGGAAUUCCCGGUGUAGCGGUGAAAUGCGCAGAUAUCGGGAAGAACACCCGUGGCGAAGGCGGCUCUCUGGGACGGUACUGACGCUGAGACGCGAAAGCGUGGGGAGCGAACGAGG
rnacentral:rRNA from 1 species